UACAGAGGGUGCAAGCGUUGUUCGGAAUUAUUGGGCGUAAAGCGCGUGUAGGCGGCCGUGCAAGUCGGGUGUGAAAGCCCUCGGCUCAACCGAGGAAGUGCGCCCGAAACUGCAUGGCUUGAGUACCGGAGAGGAUGGCGGAAUUCCCCAAGUAGAGGUGAAAUUCGUAGAUAUGGGGAGGAACACCGGUGGCGAAGGCGGCCAACUGGUCCAUUACUGACGCUGAGAUGCGAAAGCGUGGGAGCAAACAGG
rnacentral:rRNA from 1 species